UACGUAGGGGGCGAGCGUUGUCCGGAAUCAUUGGGCGUAAAGCGCGUGUAGGCGGCUCGGUAAGUCCGGUGUGAAACCUUGGGGCUCAACCCCAAGCCUGCACUGGAUACUGUCGAGCUUGAGUCCGGGAGGGGAGAGCGGAAUUCCUAAUGUAGCGGUGAAAUGCGCAGAUAUUAGGAAGAACACCGGUGGCGAAGGCGGCUCUCUGGAACGGUACUGACGCUGAGACGCGAAAGCGUGGGGAGCGAACAGG
rnacentral:rRNA from 1 species